rnacentral:rRNA from 1 species
GACGAACGCUGGCGGCGUGCUUAACACAUGCAAGUCGAACGGAAAGGCCCUGCUUUUGUGGGGUGCUCGAUUGGCGAACGGGUGAGUAACACGUGAGUAACCUGCCCUUGUCUUUGGGAUAACUUCAGGAAACUGGGGCUAAUACCGGAUAGGAGCUCCUGCUGCAUGGUGGGGGUUGGUAAGUUUCGGCGGUUGGGGAUGGACUCGCGGCUUAUCAGCUUGUUGGUGGGGUAGUGGCUUACCAAGGUUGUGACGGGUAGCCGGCCUGAGAGGGUGACCGGCCACAUUGGGACUGAGAUACGGACCAGACUCCUACGGGAGGCAGCAGUGGGGAAUAUUGCACAAUGGGCGGGAGCCUGAGGCAGCAACGCCGCGUGCGGGAUGACGGCCUUCGGGUUGUAAACCGCUUUCGACUGUGACGAAGCGUGAGUGACGGUAAUGGGUAAAGAAGCACCGGCUAACUACGUG